CCCCGGUUUCUCUGGGGUCAUCUGUCUUCUCACCUGCAGGUGGAGAGAAGCAAUCAGGCAUCAGUGGUUUUGGGGGAGACCCACCUCCCCAUUCCCACCCUGUCAUCCGUGAGCCUGGUGGGAACAACGUGAUGGACAGACAUCCAGCUCUGAUGAGGAGCCGCCUGGAGAAUCGUCUUGUGGAUGACACAAGAGACACGUACCUCGGGAAAAGAGCGAGACCCACUGACAGGCCUGAUCUUUUGACCAGAAAGGAAUUAAAAAGAAGGUCCCUCAUGAUGGCUGCACCUGUCAGCUGCAAGGAGCUUCCUUUAAGGAUCUUUUGAGUCUUGUGGGUAAACUCCAGGAGUUGGUGAUGGACAGGGAGGCCUGGUGUGCUGCAGUCCAUGGGGUCGCAAAGAGUAGGACACGACUGAGCGACUGAACUGAACUGAACUGAGUCUUGUGGAUGUAUAGCGAUUCUCAGCCGCCUGCGUCGGGACUGAUGCUGGUGGAAGCAGGCUCUCCAGGGACUCACACCGGCCACAUUUCUGGAUGCUCAUGGUGGUUUUUGGAGGGCCCUGGCUGAGCGCCUCGUGGAUUCCUGCAGCCUGGAUGAAGACGGGAGACAGAGGACCGACACUUCCUGCCUUUCUCACUGACGGGAAUGUUCAGUUGAAGCUCUGCCAGCUCCCCUGGGGGCUGCCUCUGAAACAAUCUUGUUACACCUGGGAUUUUGGUGCCUUUAAUCUGAGAAAAAGUACAUAUCCAUUCAGUAAUCCAAAAGGAUUUGAAAACUCUUCUUCUCUGAACUAAAGCUAGAAUGUCAUGGGAUUUAAAGAAUCAAGGCUGAGCAGUGAUUUCAGAAGUGUUCUGAGGUCCCGUGGAAGAUCUGCCUCUCUCCAGCCUUGGGUUCUCUGCAUUCUCGAGCAUCUCAGGGUCCAGAAGAAAAAGAAGAAAGCCUACCAGUUCUGGGAGCAGUUUGGAUGAAGAGAGAGAUGAGAAAACUGCUCCUCAGAGAUGUUAAACAACUUGGCAGAGGUCACACAGCUAGUAAGUGACAAAGACAAAAGUUCAAGGGUGAAGGUCAUUCCCAGUCACUGCAGCCCCCCAUGAGCCCAUAGAUGAAUGUGGUCCUCCUAGAAUGGGACACUCUGCACUUAAUGAACAGGUUUGGAUGCUACAAUACAUUUCAAGAGAAUCAGCCACCUGCCUCCAAGAUUAUGCCGGACCUUUGGACAGAAUCACGUGAGAUGCUAAGGAGUGCCAGAGGAAACUGAACAUCUGUGUCCGUAGAAGCCGGGGAAGUGCAUUUGGCCCUCAGAGUUCCACAGAGCCGGAUAGGGGGCGAUGUCAGAGCCGCUGUUGCCUCUGCCUGGAGCUGCUUGAGUUUCCUUGGGCAGGUCAUUUCCUCUCGCUGCACCUUACUUUUCUCAUCUGUAUAGUGGGCUCAGUGAGUGUCCUUCAGCUCUUAGAGUCUGAAUAACAGGGUUUAGAUACUGCCACCAGAUUGACAUAAAGAAUAUAUUAGCUUACAUGCUGUUCUGUGUCAGAGUAGGAAAGGGGAUAUUUAAAACUAUAUUUAAAUGUCUGUUUUAAUUAACUAAAUAUAUAUUAUUAUGUUUUAAUUUAAAGGUAUUAUACAAUUUUAAAAUAGAGAUUUGUCCCAGAGCUCUUAAAUGUCACAGUCCAUGACUGUCCAGGCAUGUAUCGCCUUUGGGUCUUACUCUUCUUUCUUUUUACUUUAUUAUCCAAUUAAAAUGUAUGUAUUUGUUCCCUU